AUACGGAGGGUGCAAGCGUUACUCGGAACCACAGGGCGUAAAGCGCGCGCAGGCGGCUUGAUAAGUUGGAUGUGAAAGCCUACGGCUCAACCGUAGAACUGCAUCCAAAACUAUUAGACUAGAGUGUGGGAGAGGAAGAUGGAAUUAGUUGUGUAGGGGUAAAAUCCGUAGAGAUAACUAGGAAUACCAAAAGCGAAGGCAACCUUCUGGAACACUACUGACGCUGAGGCGCGAAAGCGUGGGGAGCAAACAGGAUUAGAAACCCCAGUAGUCC
rnacentral:rRNA from 1 species